ANAAAGAUAGCUUAAAAGUGAUGUAAAAAGCAUUGAUUUUGUAAGUCAAAGAAUGUAAGGAUUUACUCUUUAUG
rnacentral:tRNA from 1 species